rnacentral:rRNA from 1 species
CGCUGGCGGCGUGCCUAAUACAUGCAAGUCGAACGAACGGAGGAAGAGCUUGCUCUUCCAAAGUUAGUGGCGGACGGGUGAGUAACACGUGGGCAACCUGCCUGUAAGUUGGGGAUAACUCCGGGAAACCGGGGCUAAUACCGAAUAAUAAGUGGUGGCGCAUGCCACGGCUUUGAAAGAUGGUUUCGGCUAUCGCUUACAGAUGGGCCCGCGGUGCAUUAGCUAGUUGGUAGGGUAAUGGCCUACCAAGGCAACGAUGCAUAGCCGACCUGAGAGGGUGAUCGGCCACACUGGGACUGAGACACGGCCCAGACUCCUACGGGAGGCAGCAGUAGGGAAUCUUCCGCAAUGGACGAAAGUCUGACGGAGCAACGCCGCGUGUAUGAAGAAGGUUUUCGGAUCGUAAAGUACUGUUGUUAGAGAAGAACAAGGAUAAGAGUAACUGCUUGUCCCUUGACGGUAUCUAACCAGAAAGCCACGGC